rnacentral:tRNA from 1 species
CCUGAUAGCUAAGUUGGUAAAGAAUCCACCUGCGAUGUGGGAGACCUGGGUUCAAUCCCUGGGUUAGGA